AGAUACAGGUUGAGUUAGGUCAGGUACAGAACAGGUUGAGUUAGGUCAGAUACAGGUUGAGUUAGGUCAUGUACAGAACAGGUUGAGUUAGGUCAGAUACAGGUUGAGUUAGGUCAGGUACAGGUUGAGUUAGGUCAGAUACAGAACAGGUUGAGUUAGGUCAGAUACAGGUUGAGUUAGGUCAGGUACAGAACAGGUUGAGUUAGGUCAGAUACAGGUUGAGUUAGGUCAGGUACAGAACAGGUUGAGUUAGGUCAGAUACAGGUUGAGUUAGGUCAGAUACAGGUUGAGUUAGGUCAGAUACAGGUUGAGUUAGGUCAGAUACAGGUUGAGUUAGGUCAGGUACAGAACAGGUUGAGUUAGAUCAGAUACAGGUUGAGUUAGGUCAGGUACAGAACAGGUUGAGUUAGAUCAGAUACAGGUUGAGUUAGGUCAGAUACAGGUUGAGUUAGGUCAGGUACAGAACAGGUUGAGUUAGGUCAGAUACAGGUUGAGUUAGGUCAGAUACAGGUUGAGUUAGGUCAGGUACAGAACAGGUUGAGUUAGGUCAGGUACAGGUUGAGUUAGGUCAGGUACAGGUUGAGUUAGGUCAGGUACAGAACAGGUUGAGUUAGGUCAGAUACAGGUUGAGUUAGGUCAGGUACAGAACAGGUUGAGUUAGGUCAGAUACAGGUUGAGUUAGGUCAGGUACAGAACAGGUUGAGUUAGAUCAGAUACAGGUUGAGUUAGGUCAGGUACAGAACAGGUUGAGUUAGAUCAGGUACAGGUUGAGUUAGGUCAGAUACAGAACAGGUUGAGUUAGGUCAGGUACAGAACAGGUUGAGUUAGGUCAGGUACAGAACAGGUUGAGUUAGGUCAGAUACAGGUUGAGUUAGGUCAGGUACAGAACAGGUUGAGUUAGGUCAGAUACAGGUUGAGUUAGGUCAGGUACAGAACAGGUUGAGUUAGGUCAGAUACAGGUUGAGUUAGGUCAGGUACAGAACAGGUUGAGUUAGAUCAGAUACAGGUUGAGUUAGGUCAGGUACAGGUUGAGUUAGGUCAGAUACAGAACAGGUUGAGUUAGGUCAGGUACAGAACAGGUUGAGUUAGGUCAGAUACAGGUUGAGUUAGGUCAGGUACAGGUUGAGUUAGGUCAGGUACAGAACAGGUUGAGUUAGGUCAGAUACAGGUUGAGUUAGGUCAGGUACAGAACAGGUUGAGUUAGAUCAGAUACAGAAUGAGUUAGGUCAGAUACAGGUUGAGUAAGGUCAGAUACAGGUUGAGUUAGGUCAGGUACAGGUUGAGUUAGGUCAGAUACAGAACAGGUUGCGUUAGGUCAGAGAGGGGGAGACAGGCCAAGACAGACUGUGAACAGAGAGGUGUGAGUGUGGUGGAGGUACCUGUACCAGACAGGGGGAGAAAACCAGGGCAGACGGUGAACAGACAGGGGGAGACAGACCAAGGCAGACGGU